rnacentral:rRNA from 1 species
UACAGAGGGGGCAAGCGUUGUUCGGAAUUACUGGGCGUAAAGGGCGCGUAGGUGGCCUUCUAAGUUGAACGUGAAAUCCCUGGGCUCAACCCAGGAACUGCGUCCAAGACUGGGAGGCUUGAAUCCGGGAGAGGGAUGCGGAAUUCCAGGUGUAGCGGUGAAAUGCGUAGAUAUCUGGAGGAACACCGGUGGCGAAGGCGGCAUCCUGGACCGGUAUUGACACUGAGGCGCGAAAGCGUGGGGAUCAAACAGG